rnacentral:rRNA from 1 species
CAAUAGCGUAUAUUAAAGUUGUUGCAGUUAAAAAGCUCGUAGUUGGAUUUCUGUGAGAGUGCCGGUGUCGGCUGAUGCUUGUACGCAGGCGCUCUUACAUCCUUCUGUUAACUCAUCUUGGCAUUUUAUUGCUGGUUGAGGGCUCAGAUAUUUUACCUUGAGAAAAUUAGAGUGUUUCAGGCAGGCUUAUGCCGGAAUACAUUAGCAUGGAAUAAUGGAACAGGACCUGUGCGUCUCUCGGGGCGCCGGUCUCCGUUAUUGGUUUCGGGGACUAAUGUAAUGAUUAAUAGGGAUAGUUGGGGGCAUUAGUAUUUAAUAGUCAGAGGUGAAAUUCUCGGAUUUGUUAAAGACUAACUUAUGCGAAAGCAUUUGCCAAGGAUGUUUNCAUUA